UUUGGUCAAAAGCAUAAUCCUUUACUCAGGUGUUACGGGUCACCACAUUGUCAGAUAAAUACGCAACGCAGAGACAGAGGGACGAGAGGACGAUCAAUGGAAAUAGUUUUUUUUUGUUGUUGGUGUAAAUAAUGAUCGAUGGUUCAGAGACAUGGGAGGAAUAUGUCUUCUGAAAUAGGAUUACUUGUUAUUUGGCCAUUGGCUAGUUUUAUGGCGAGGAAUUCUAAUUGGUUAUAAAACUACAUCCUGUCACUUUGUUCUGUGGAGAGAACCACUGAGGACAGGGGAGACCAUCUACCUCCCCUGUAGGAUUUGUCCUCUUCGAAUAAAUCCAUUUUCCUCCUCAGAUUUGCUAUUUGGGGUAUUGAAGAGUAACAGGAUCCGAAACGGAACCUUCAUAACGCCGUUUAUAGAUCCUAGACAGGUGCCCCACUAGCGCCAUCUCUGGGUUGGCAUUAUUACCCGUUUAUAGAUCCGAGACAGGUGCCCCACUAGCGCCAUCUCUGGGUUGGCAUUAUUACCCGUUUAUAGAUCCGAGACAGGUGCCCCACUAGCGCCAUCUCUGGGUUGGCAUUAUUACCCGUUUAUAGAUCCGAGACAGGUGCCCCACUAGCGCCAUCUCUGGGUUGGCAUUAUUACCCGUUUAUAGAUCCGAGACAGGUGCCCCACUAGCGCCAUCUCUGGGUUGGCAUUAUUACCCGUUUAUAGAUCCUAGACAGGUGCCCCACUAGCGCCAUCUCUGGGUUGGCAUUAUUACCCGUUUAUAGAUCCGAGACAGGUGCCCCACUAGCGCCAUCUCUGGGUUGGCAUUAUUACCCGUUUAUAGAUCCGAGACAGGUGCCCCACUAGCGCCAUCUCUGGGUUGGCAUUAUUACCCGUUUAUAGAUCCGAGACAGGUGCCCCACUAGCGCCAUCUCUGGGUUGGCAUUAUGCCCAUUAUAUUAACAGGCGUAAUCUACUGUACACAUUACAGAAACUACCUUGUUAAAUGGUGUUAUGUACAAUCACUAAGACUGUGGUCACAUGACUUCUGUUUAAAACUGUUCCUUUUAGAGCUGUUUGUAAAAAUAAAAUGCACACCAAUGGUUUAAUGAAAACUGUAUUUUUUUCAACACAAGUUCUCUAGUCUACUGAAUAUGGCAGACCUUGUUUAGGAAUAAAGUAUAAGCAGACUGUUGAUCUACCUUUUUAUUGUGGUAAAAAAAAAAAUCAGAUAAGGGCUUCAUUUUUAUAGAGUUAAAAUAAAAUUGUAGCUACAAGGAGAAAAUUUGCGACAUACUGGUAAUUCAAAACAAUUAAAAACAUUUACAUUCAUUCACAUAACCUAUAAAAAAAAUGACAAAAUGGCAUUGUCAUGUCAGUUUAACACGAAAUGCAGAUUGUCCACACACACACACCAAAAAAAAGGCACAAGAAGCCGACACACAGAUUGUCCGCACAAG